AGUGAACGCUGGCGGUAGGCCUAACACAUGCAAGUCGAACGGCAGCACAGUAAGAGCUUGCUCUUACGGGUGGCGAGUGGCGGACGGGUGAGGAAUACAUCGGAAUCUACUUUUUCGUGGGGGAUAACGUAGGGAAACUUACGCUAAUACCGCAUACGACCUACGGGUGAAAGCAGGUGAUCUUCGGACCUUGCGCGAUUGAAUGAGCCGAUGUCGGCUUAGCUAGUUGGCGGGGUAAAGGCCCACCAAGGCGCCGAUCCGUAGCUGGGCUGAGAGGAUGAUCAGCCACACUGGAACUGAGACACGGUCCAGACUCCUACGGGAGGCAGCAGUGGGGAAUAUUGGACAAUGGGCGCAAGCCUGAUCCAGCCAUACCGCGUGGGUGAAGAAGGCCUUCGGGUUGUAAAGCCCUUUUGUUGGGAAAGAAAAGCAGCAGGUUAAUACCCCGCUGUUCUGACGGUACCCAAAGAAUAAGCACCGGCUAACUUCGUG
rnacentral:rRNA from 1 species